rnacentral:rRNA from 1 species
AUGCCCUCUUCCUCCCCCUCGUUUGUGCCGGUGGAGGAGGAGAUGAGGAACUGGGCGGAGCUGCCGUUGGACGCGAUCUCAACCAUCCUCCGCAAGCUCGACCACGUCAACAUCCUGAUGGGGGCCGGCCAGGUGUGCCGCUCCUGGCGCGGCGCCGCCCGCGACGAGCCCGAGCUAUGGCGCCGCAUCAACAUGCUUGGCCACGCCGACCUCUCCCCCGAGCUCAACCUCCACGGGAUGGCGCAGGCCGCCGUCCGCCGCAGCGCGGGAAGGUGCGAGGCGUUCUGGGGCGAGUACACCGACGACCACGACUUUCUCCUCUUCCUCGCUGACCAGGCACCUUCUCUUAAGAGUCAUCGCCUCAUUUCUCGCUAUAAUUUUGAUGUACUCAAGGAGAUGAUAGUGAAAUUCCCUUUGCUCGAGGAGCUCGAGCUUUCAUUGUGUUCAGAUGUGGGUGAGAGUGGUGUGUUUGGGGUUGUUGGCAAAGCAUGCCCACAACUGAAGCACUUCAGACUGAAUAAGGACGUGUUCUAUGAUUUUGAAGCUUGCGACAAUGACAGGGAUGACGAAGCCAUGGGGAUUGCAAUUAUGCAUGAGUUACGCUCUUUGCAGUUAUUUGCCAAUCGCCUGACCAAUAAAGGACUGACAGCCAUCCUGGAUAAUUGCCGCCACCUUGAGUCCCUUGACAUUCGUCACUGCUUCAAUGUCAGCAUGGACAACACCCUGCGUGCAAAAUGUGAUAGGAUAAGCACAUUGAGGCUUAUCCUGCCAAGAUAA